UGGCGGUGAGAUACCGGAGUGAUUGUGGCUCCAGAUACAGUGUCUCAGUCACAGGUAUCACCCCAUGCUAGCUCACACUGCUGUUUUAUAUCUCUAACUUUGUACAAUGAGCUCCGGCAUGUUGGGUAACAGUCAGUCUUACAGACAUCCCAACUCUCCCGACGUUCUGGGGGUCUUCCGGCAUUAUAAUAGCGGCUCCCUGACACCUGCAAGUUAUAUACACUAUCCCGGAAACCAC